rnacentral:tRNA from 1 species
GAGGGUAGAGCUCAGUGGUAGAGCGUGUGCUUAGCAUGCACAAGGUCCUGGGUUCAAUCCCCAGUACCUCCA